rnacentral:rRNA from 1 species
AGUCACAGUCACAUCAUCUUGCAGCCCAAGACUGAAGCUAAGCAAGUCUGAGCCUGGUUAGUACCUGGAUGGGAGCCCACAUGGGAAAACUAGGUUGCUGUUGGAA